rnacentral:sRNA from 1 species
UGGAAGACCAGGCAGCCCAGCCGAAGGCAGUAAGCUCGGCUCACAGUCGCAGGAGAGUUCUGGGGUACACGGGCAAAGGGGCUUGAGAAGGCCCGGAGGCGAAGCCGAAGAGAAGCAACUGUGCCCUGGAGAAGAGAAGCUCGCCCAUUCCAGACUGGGAACCAGAUUUCAGUGAAGAUGGCAGGGCCAGAACUGUUGCUCGACUCCAACAUCCGCCUCUGGGUGGUCCUACCCAUCGUUAUCAUCACUUUCUUCGUAGGCAUGAUCCGCCACUACGUGUCCAUCCUGCUGCAGAGCGACAAGAAGCUCACCCAGGAACAAGUAUCUGACAGUCAAGUCCUAAUUCGAAGCAGAGUCCUCAGGGAAAAUGGAAAAUACAUUCCCAAACAGUCUUUCUUGACACGAAAAUAUUAUUUCAACAACCCAGAGGAUGGAUUUUUCAAAAAAACUAAACGGAAGGUAGUGCCACCUUCUCCUAUGACUGAUCCUACUAUGUUGACAGACAUGAUGAAAGGGAAUGUAACAAAUGUCCUCCCUAUGAUUCUUAUUGGUGGAUGGAUCAACAUGACAUUCUCAGGCUUUGUCACAACCAAGGUCCCAUUUCCACUGACCCUCCGUUUUAAGCCUAUGUUACAGCAAGGAAUCGAGCUACUCACAUUAGAUGCAUCCUGGGUGAGUUCUGCAUCCUGGUACUUCCUCAAUGUAUUUGGGCUUCGGAGCAUUUACUCUCUGAUUCUGGGCCAAGAUAAUGCCGCUGACCAAUCACGAAUGAUGCAGGAGCAGAUGACGGGAGCAGCCAUGGCCAUGCCCGCAGACACAAACAAAGCUUUCAAGGUAUACUCCUUCACCUUUCAAAGCCGCAGCAAUGCUCUGAAAGGUGUUACCAAGAGCUAUUUUAAAAAUAGCUUCCUUGCAGGGAGUGUUGUGUGGUUCCAUCGUUUUAAUUUAAACUUAGUAAAAACAUAGUUUACACGUCUCUCUUUCCUGAGACAGAAUCAUCUAUUAAGUAAAUGGAAAUUCUUGGUGCUUUUACUGGUUUUUAAAUGCUCACUGGAAUUUAAUCCACACUAUCAAUGAUGCUGUAAAAUAAUCCAAUCGGAGGUGCCAGGUAAACAUUUAGAAUAAUUUGAACCUUUUUGAACCCCAUAGACAUCAGAUAUAAAUUGCAUUAAAAAAACAAUACUAAGAGCCUUUUCACAAAAAGGUUCUAGAAUUUGCAAAAUUUAGUAUGAUUUUUGUGGAACAAAAUCUCACUGUGUUUCAUGAUAGAAACUAAAAGAGAAGGGAAGUUCCGGCCGGGCACAGGGGCUCACACGUGUAAUCCCAGCACUUUGGGAGGCCAAGGUGGGCAGAUCACCUGAGUUCAGGAGUUCGACACCAGCUUGGACAACAUGGUGAAACCCUGUCUCUAUUAAAAAUACAAAAAUGGGCCAGGUGCGGUGGCUCACGCCUGUAAUCCCCGCACUUUGGGAGGCCAAGGCGGGUGGGUCAGCUGAGGUCAGGAGUUCAAGACCAGCCUGGCCAACAUGGUGAAACCUCUUUUCUACUAAAGAUAUAAAAAAAAAUUUGCUGGGCAUGGUGGUGGGCACCUGUAAUCCCAGUUACUCGGGAGGCUGAGACAGGAGAAUUGCUUGAACUCAGGAGGUGGAGUUUGCAGUGAGCUGAGAUUGAUUGCACCAUUGCACUCCAGCCUGGGCAACAAGAGCAAAACUCCGUCUCAAAAAAAAAAAAAAAAAAAAACAAAAAUGAGCUGGGCAUGGUGGCAUGUGCCUAUAAUCCCAGCCACCCAGGAGGCUGAGGCAGGAGAAUCACUGGAACCUGGGAGGCGGAGGCUGUAGUGAGCCAAGAUCGUGCCACUGCACUCCAGCCUGGAUGACAGACCAAGAUUCCAUCUCAAAAAAAAAGAGAGAGAAA